GCUAGGUGCAUUGGCGCAUGCCUGAAAUCCCAGUGUCUUGGGAGGCUGAGGCAGGAGGAUUGUGAGUUCCUAGCCAGCCUUAUCAACGGCAAGAAGCUAAGCAACUCAGUGAGAUCCUGUCUCUA
rnacentral:sRNA from 1 species